rnacentral:lncRNA from 1 species
CAUCAAUUAAUGUUAGACGAUUUUUAUUACCUUGUUUUGGAAUGUUAUGGUCUUCUAAUAAUAUGCCCAUUGAGCUAGAGCUUCCAAUGACGUUUUUGCAUAGAAUCCCCUAAACUUGCACUUUAAGCAAAAUUUAGGAAGCCUGGAGAACAAAUAUAUUAUAUUCACACUGUAAUACUAUUUUAAAUAACUAGUGAAUAUUUUUGAUUUACUUUAUCAUGAAGAUUUACUUUGAUUAAAGCAAAACUACCUGGAAGAAUAAAGCAAUGAGAGAGCAAAACAGAGAUAAAGAUCCAAAACUUACCACUGUGAAAAUGUGUUCACAUGUAUCUGCCCUAGAAUGCAAGCCACUUGGGGGUAAGACAGUUCAUCACAGUCCUUUGUACAAAUGUCUUCUGAAAGACAGCUUAUGGCUUUCUGAGUCAAUUAAAAACAAAAAAUUGGUAGCUUACACUAAAUAUUUCAAUUGUUUUAUUCAUUUUGACUAGUGAGUGGUUGAACUGUGCAACAUUUACAGUUGUAUUUUUAAAAUAUUAUUAAGAAUUAAGCAAAAAGCAUGAAUUAAAGACCAAUUAGAUUUAUGGAAAUAAGUAUGAUGAUUCUACCAUUACAGAUACAUGAAUUCAAAUUGAAUGAAAAACAUAACAGCUAAACAGUAGGACUAAGAAGUUAAUCAUCCUGACUCUCUUAAAUAUACA